CAACAGCCUUAUGCAUUCCAUGUGACCAUCAUCCCCAUUGUACAGAUGGGGCAUCUGAGGCUUAGGCUAGUCAGAUAAGUCGGGUUACAGAUGGGCUCCUGUAGCCAAAAUGUAGGGGAGCUGGAAUUUGACUCUAUAGGCCAUAUUCUUUCAACCAAUUUAUUAUCAACAGUAUUCAGGCAUUUCUCUGAGGACAACAUUUGGUGAGGGUUGCUUGAUGACACAGUCAGUGAAAUACCGUAAUUGAUAAGAGGGAUAGAGGGGGCUAAAUGUUUCUUUUGUUGUCUUAUAAAUGACAUACCGUAUUUCCUUGGGUCUCUGCUUCUUCUAUUUGAUUAUGUUUAAGUCUUAAAACUAGUGGGUUCUCCUUGAAAGUGUGAUAAGAAAUUGGAGAAGGAAGUAACCCCACAGAAGAAAGUGAACCAUGACAGCCUAACAGUGUGGGAAUGAAAACACAUAGGUGUCCCUAGAGUCUAAUCGCUUUUGUUAUACUCCAGAGGGAAACUUUGAUACUAAGCAUCAAGAAUUCAGCCCUCCUCCUCAUUUCACAUAUUGGGCAUAUAAUUUGUGUGGGGAUUACAACCUGAAUCUUCUUAGGUACCUCUGGUUUCUGACACAGCAGCAGCCUUUGAAUCACUGAGUGUUUUUUUCCCUGCUGCUUAAUCUCUGGUGCAGCCAAUUUAUAGACGGGAAGAGUUUUUACUUUAUCUGUUCCAACCACACUCCCUCCCACUUUCUGCUUUUGUAGCAGGAAGAAGCUUCAACUUCUCUUGCUCGGUGCAGGUUUGCCGAUGUGUGUGAGCUGUUGUGUGUGUGCAUCUAGACAUUCCUGAAGAUGCUGGAAACAAUGGUGGAAAGUUGGGAGGGUGAGGACCUUUAUUGUGUAACAAACUGAAGGCACCAAGGAGUCUGCAUUUGUUGGGUCCUCAGAUGCUGACUCAGAGGCUAGAAAUGUCAGAAUCAUUUUGAAAAAAUACAUAAAAUACAGCUUUGUAGUUCUCUCCCCUGAAGAUUCUGAUUCAAAGUGUCUGAGAGUCUCUGGACAUCUGCAUUUUCAUAAGUGCCUUGAGAUAUAUUGCAGGUAUUGGCAAAUUUUUUCUGUAAAGAGCCAGAUAAUAAGCAGUUCAGAUUUUGUGGGCCAUGUGGUCUCUGUUACAACCACUCAACUCUGCCAUUGUAGUCCAAAAGUAACCAUAGGCAACACACAGACAAAUAAACAUGGCUGUGUUCUAACGAAAUCUUAUUUAAUUAAACAUAGAAUUACCAUAUGAUUUAGAAAUAUCAUCCUAGAUACAUACCCAAAAGCAUCAAAAGCAGAGACUCUAAGAGGUACUUGUACACCCAUGUUCACAGCAACAUUAUUCACAACAGUCAAAAGGUGGAAGCAGCACAAGCAUUCCUCAAUAAGCAGAUAAGCAAAAUAUGGUGUAUAUAUAAAAUGGAGCAUAUUCAACCUUAAAAAGGAAUGCUACAACAUGGAUGAACUUUGAGAACAUUGUAGAAGUGAAAUAAGCCAGACACCAAAGGACAAACAUUGUAUGAUUGCACUUACAUGAAGUACCUAGAGGAGUCAAAUUCAUAGAGAAAGAAAGUAGAAUCAUAAUUACCAGGGUCUGGGAAAGGGGGA
rnacentral:lncRNA from 1 species